rnacentral:rRNA from 1 species
AUUGAACGCUGGCGGCAUGCCUUACACAUGCAAGUCGAACGGCAGCACGGAGAGCUUGCUCUCUGAUGGUGAGUGGCGAACGGGUGAGUAAUGCAUCGGAACGUACCGUGUAAUGGGGGAUAACGUAGCGAAAGUUACGCUAAUACCGCAUACGACCUGAGGGUGAAAGCAGGGGAUCGCAAGACCUUGCGUUAUACGAGCGGCCGAUGUCAGAUUAGCUAGUUGGUGAGGUAAAGGCUCACCAAGGCGACGAUCUGUAGCGGGUCUGAGAGGAUGAUCCGCCACACUGGGACUGAGACACGGCCCAGACUCCUACGGGAGGCAGCAGUGGGGAAUUUUGGACAAUGGGGGCAACCCUGAUCCAGCCAUGCCGCGUGAGUGAAGAAGGCCUUCGGGUUGUAAAGCUCUUUCGGCCGGGAAGGAAUCGCACAGGCUAAUACUCUGUGUGGAUGACGGUACCGGCAUAAGAAGCACCGGCUAACUACGUGCCAGCAGCCGCAGUAA